rnacentral:rRNA from 1 species
GUGUCAGCAGCCGCGGUAAUACAGAGGCCCCAAGCGUUAGUCGGAAUCACUGGGCUUAAAGGGUGCGUAGGCGGGUCAGUAAGUGUCUUGUGAAAGCCCACGGCUCAACCGUGGAACCGCAGGGCAUACUGCUGAUCUUGAGGAAGGUAGAGGCCGGUGGAACGAUAGGUGGAGCGGUGGAAUGCGUAGAGAUCUAUCGGAACGCCAAUGGUGAAGACAGCCGGCUGGGCCUUUCCUGACGCUGAGGCACGAAAGCGUGGGGAGCAAACAGGAUUAGAUACCCUGGUAGUCC